rnacentral:rRNA from 1 species
GAUGAACGCUGACAGAAUGCUUAACACAUGCAAGUCAACUUGAAUUUGGGUUUUUAACUUAGGUUUGGGUGGCGGACGGGUGAGUAACGCGUAAAGAACUUGCCUCACAGCUAGGGACAACAUUUGGAAACGAAUGCUAAUACCUAAUAUUAUGAUAAUAGGGCAUCCUAUAAUUAUGAAAGCUAUAAGCGCUGUGAGAGAGCUAUGCGUCCCAUUAGCUAGUUGGAGAGGUAACGGCUCACCAAGGCGAUGAUGGGUAGCCGGCCUGAGAGGGUGAUCGGCCACAAGGGGACUGAGACACGGCCCUUACUCCUACGGGAGGCAGCAGUGGGGAAUAUUGGACAAUGGACCAAGAGUCUGAUCCAGCAAUUCUGUGUGCACGAUGAAGUUUUUCGGAAUGUAAAGUGCUUUCAGUUGGGAAGAAAGAAAUGACGGUACCAACAGAAGAAGUGACGGCUAAAUACGUGCCAGCAGCCGCGGUAAUACGUAUGUCACGAGCGUUAUCCGGAUUUAUUGGGCGUAAAGCGCGUCUAGGUGGUUAUGUAAGUCUGAUGUGAAAAUGCAGGGCUCAACUCUGUAUUGCGUUGGAAACUGUAUAACUAGAGUACUGGAGAGGUAAGCGGAACUACAAGUGUAGAGGUGAAAUUCGUAGAUAUUUGUAGGAAUGCCGAUGGGGAAGCCAGCUUACUGGACAGAUACUGACGCUGAAGCGCGAAAGCGUGGGUAGCAAACAGG